rnacentral:rRNA from 1 species
UACGUAGGGCGCAAGCGUUGUCCGGAAUUAUUGGGCGUAAAGAGCUCGUAGGCGGUUUGUCGCGUCUGCUGUGAAAACCUAAGGCUCAACCUUGGGCUUGCAGUGGGUACGGGCAGACUAGAGUGCGGUAGGGGUGACUGGAAUUCCUGGUGUAGCGGUGGAAUGCGCAGAUAUCAGGAGGAACACCGAUGGCGAAGGCAGGUCACUGGGCCGCAACUGACGCUGAGGCGCGAAAGCCAGGGGAGCGAACGGG